CUAAGGCUCCAGAGGAAGCCACGGCUAACUCUGUGCCAGCAGCCGCGGUAAUACAGAGGCGGCAAGCGUUGUUCGGAAUUAUUGGGCGUAAAGAGCACGUAGGCGGCCUUGCAAGUCAGUUGUGAAAGCCUUCCGCUUAACGGAAGAAUGCCAGCUGAUACUACAGGGCUUGAGUACGGGAGGGGAGAGUGGAACUUCUGGUGGAGCGGUGAAAUGCGUAGAUAUCAGAAGGAACGCCGGCGGCGAAAGCGACUCUCUGGCCCGAAACCGACGCUGAGUGUGCGAAAGCUAGGGGAGCAAACGGGAUUGGAUACCCCGGUAGUCCUAGCCGUAAA
rnacentral:rRNA from 1 species